CUGCUUUUUGACAGCACAUAUAUCAGGAUUGGAACAAUAAAGGGAAGAUUAGCAUGGUCCUUGCGCAAGGAUGACACGCAUAUAGUGAAGCGUUCCUUUUUUAA